rnacentral:rRNA from 1 species
CGCGUAGGCGGUUUUGUAAGUCGAAUGUGAAAGCCCCGGGCUUAACCUGGGAAUUGCGUUUGAUACUGCGAAACUAGAGUACGGUAGAGGGAAGUGGAAUUCCGGGUGUAGCGGUGAAAUGCGUAGAUAUCCGGAGGAACACCAGUGGCGAAGGCGACUUCCUGGGCCAGUACUGACGCUGAGGUGCGAAAGCGUGGGGAGCAAACA